GCCCCGAUAGCUCAGCCGGUUAGAGCAGCGGACUCAUAAUCCGUCGGUCCUCGGUUCAAGUCCGAGUCGGGGCA
rnacentral:tRNA from 1 species